rnacentral:rRNA from 1 species
AGAAGUGCUUACCUGCGCUGGACCAUGUAUAAGUCUCCUGGAAUGGAGCGUCACAGAGGGUGAGAAUCCCGUCCUUGACAUGGGCUGCCAGUGUGUUGUGGUGCGCUCUCAAAGAGUCGAGUUGUUUGGGAAUGCAGCUCUAAAUGGGUGGUAAACUCCAUCUAAAGCUAAAUAUUGGCGAGAGACCGAUAGCGAACAAGUACCGUGAGGGAAAGAUGAAAAGGACUUUGGAAAGAGAGUUAAACAGUAUGUGAAAUUGUUGAAAGGGAAACGCUUGAAGUCAGUUAUGUUGGUUAGGGAUCAACCUAGCUAUUUUUUGCUGGGUGAAUUUCCUAGUCUGACAGGCCAACAUCAGUUCUGACUGCUGGAAAAGAGCAGAGGGAAUGUGGCACCUUUGGGUGUGUUAUAGCCUUUUGUCAUAUGUGGCAGUUGGGACUGAGGGAUGCAGCAUGCCGUGAGGCUGGGUUUCGACCAUGUUCAUGCUUAGGAUGUUGGCUUUUAAUGGCUUCAAUCGACCCGUCUUGAAACACGGACCAAGGAGUCUAACAUGCCUGCGAGUGUUUGGGUGGUGAAAACCCUUGUGCACAAUGAAAGUGAAAGUUGAGAUCCCUGUCAUGGGGGAGCAUCGACGCCCGGGACCUGAGCUUUUUAGCGAUGGAUCUGCCGGUAGAGCAUUGCAUGUUGGGGACCCCGAAAAGAUGGGUGAACUAU